GUUACUGGUUCUGCAAUGUUCCGG
rnacentral:snRNA from 1 species